rnacentral:piRNA from 1 species
CAGGAAUUCAAUGGUGUGUAGACAAAAA